UACGGAGGAUGCAAGCGUUAUCCGGAAUCAUUGGGCGUAAAGGGUCCUGAGGUGGUUUGCUAAGUCUACUGUGAAAGAUCAGGGCUCAACCCUGAAGAUGCGGUGGAAACUGGUAGGCUAGAAUACGGUAGGGGCAGGGGGAAUUCCCGGUGUAGCGGUGAAAUGCAUAGAUAUCGGGAAGAACACCAAAGGCGAAGGCACCCUGCUGGGCCGAUAUUGACACUGACAGACGAAAGCUAGGGGAGCGAAUGGG
rnacentral:rRNA from 1 species